GCGACCCUUACACAAUCAUCAAUUCAAGCUCCUCCGAUAUCACGCUAAACCCAGGGCAUAAUGUGUCCUAAAAGCUGGUGUUAGGUUGCAGUAGCAUCUGCCUAAUAGAUAUUGCAGAGUCUGAACACAAAUGGGCUUCUCUUAAAGUGUGUGCUGUAUCACUUCACACCGCUCACAGUUUCCUGCCAUUGAUCAAGCCCCACCUAUUCAGCUGAUGGGCCAGAGGAGUAACCCGAUCACCUAACAAGAAAGGAGCAGAGGAGAGAGGAAGGAUAAAAUGAGAGAAAUGUAUGGACUGAUGAGAGACUGGAACCUGGGUGAGGUCAAUCCUGCCGUACUCUCUGUGGGUUAAAGCUGCCUGUUUGAGUGACUAGCGGCAGCUCUAUAAAGGCUUGUGAGAUUUGCAGGAAAUAGAGGAAACUGGAGUCUGAGGGAGACUGGGAGACGGAGGCCACAGAAGAGCAAGGAGGAACAGGUUGAUAAAAGACAGAGACUGGCUGAAGAGAGUUUUUUCCUCAGCGUUGUGAGGACGUUCCCGUAGUUCAGCUUUAAUUAAGCACACUGAGCAAGCAAAUGAGGAACAAUGAGACAUCUGUGUAGAUGCGAGCAUGUGUGCGGUUCUGUGGUUGAAGACUGCAGCCAGGAGCAGGUCUUCUUCAGUGAUGGCAUGCUGCUGUUGUACAGAUUCUGAAGACAUGAUGGAUCUCAUUUUACCUAUCAAUCACCAAGAUGUCACAACAGCUCUGAGCUCUGAGGAGGAACUCCUUUAGGCCAGGAUCAAGACCAGACACAGAACAUCGCUUUUGCUCUCUCUUACUUUUCCCUCUGCUCUUAAUCCAAAUGUGCAAUGCAAUGGCCUUUCUGAAUACCCUUUACUUCUCUUCUGUUCCCAUAUACUUAGAUAUAUAUACUAAGUAUUGUGUUGUUUUAAAAUUUGCAUCAUUCACUUUUAUGUGUGAAAUUUGUAGGUGCAAAAGUAAGAUACAGUUUCAAGUGUUAUAAAGGGUAUUACUUGAUCUCAGUGCAUGUUUUUGAAUGAAAUCCUAUGAAUUAAGGAGAACAGCUUUUAUUAAUUGAACUUGAUUAGCCAAUAAAAACCCCCCUGUUCUGCGGGCAGGUCGAAUGCAGGACAAGCCCUUCUUACCAAUCAAGAGGGACUGAUCUGACUUAGUGUUUUGUAAAAAAAGGCAAAUGCUGAAAUUCAUACUUCAACAAUGUCAGAUUUGCUCCGCUUUGUCAUUCAUCGGAAAGGCAGCAAAGCUUCAGUUGCAGCCAUUAAAAAUAAUAAUAAUAAUAAUACACAUUCUCGAAAAGAAGAUCCUGUGUCAUUUCCUUUUCCUUCAUUCUCUUCCUGACCUUUCCUGUGAUCGGUUCUGUGUUA